UCGGAAGCGCCUCGCUGGCGUAGUAUGAGGGAUCACGUGGCGCGCUCUUCAUAGGUUUUGCUGUCAGCGCUCACUGAAAACACCACGCGCGAGCUCUCCCGGACAUUUCUUGAACGCCACUGCGCGCGGUCGCCGCGAUGAAGUAUCCCGAACCAGCUUCUUGCGUGAAAGUGUCGGUACCCGCGGAGUCCGGUCCAAACAGCCGCCUCAAGUCUACAUGCGACUCCGACUUCGCGUCGACAUUAUUUUGUCCCCAGCAGUGGCAGCCGCACAGCUCGUGUUCCUGCCG